rnacentral:rRNA from 1 species
AGGAUAAACGCUGGCGGCGUGCCUAACACAUGCAAGUCGAACGCUCUUUUGCUCGCAAGAGCCAGAGGGAGUGGCGGACGGGUGAGUAACACAUGGGUAACCUACCCCCCAGUGAGGAAUACCGGCGAGAAAUCGCCGACAAGACCGCAUAGGCUCGGUCCGGUGAAGCGGAGCGAGCAAAGUCUCGCAAGAGACGCUGAGGGAUGGGCCUGUGGCCGAUUAGCUAGUUGGUAAGGUAAAGGCUUACCAAGGCGACGAUCGGUAGCUGGUCUGAGAGGACGAACAGCCACACUGGGAUUGAGAACGGCCCAGACUCCUACGGGGGGCAGCAGUGAGGAAUUUUCCGCAAUGGACGCAAGUCUGACGGAGCAACGCCGCGUGCAGGAGGACGCUUUUCGGAGUGUAAACUGCUUUUCUGUGGGAAGAGGCAGGACGGUACCACAGGAAGAAGCCCGGCUAACUACGUGCCAGCAGCCGCGGU